rnacentral:rRNA from 1 species
UCAAGAAUAUUCCUCAAUGGGCGAAAGCCUGAAGGAGCGACGCCGCGUGUAGGAUGAAGGUCUUCGGAUCGUAAACUACUUUUAUAGGGGACGAAUUUGUGACGGUACCCUAAGAAUAAGAGGUUGCUAACUCUGUGCCAGCAGCAGCGGUAAUACAGAGACCUCAAACGUUAUCCGGAUUUAUUGGGCGUAAAGCGUCCGCAGGUUGUUUAGCGGGUAGGGGGUAAAAACUCUGGGCUUAACCCAGGGUCUGCUUUCUAAACUACUAAACUAGAGGGUGGAAGAGGUGAGCGGAAUUGCUGGUGUAGUCGUAAUAAGCGUUGAUAUCAGCAAGAACACCAAAGGCGAAGGCAGCUCACUGGUACACACCUGACACUCAUGGACGAAAGCGUGGGGAGCAAACAGG